ensembl:lncRNA
UGAUACAUCAAAAUGCACAACUCCCUUGGUUCCUCUUUGAACCCUGGCCAGUUUUGGGGGGGGAAACCAACAGGAGAAAGAGAAAACCUGAUGUUCUACUUGACUGUCGCAUAGAUUUGUUUAUUCAGUGGACUUUAGAGACCUCAACUACAAAGUGGAUGCACUGCUGUAGGGCUUCCCAAUUGCCAAGACAGGUUCUCCAAAUCCUCGCUGCAACUGGGGCACCACAACGACUGUGGAUCUGGAUGACGAGUAGGAUGUAUGUUGCUCCUAUACCUGAAGAUCAGAAAUUUAUUGCUGCCUUUGGAGAUGACUCUUCAACAAGAGACAUAUCUUGUCAAGUUGUGAACAGCUAUAACCAUGAACCCUCCUUUACAUACAGCUCUUCAUUAGCAGCAGAAUAUCCUCAACUAUUCCGCAUAACAGUAUGGAGCAUGAUGCAGAAUUUGAUGAAGUUUGCUGAGACUAGGUGUGCUCAUGCAUCACAUGGAGAAGUGGAAAUGAGUUCUCAACCAGAAUAUCUGGAGACCAAGCAGUGGAUGUGAGCACACUGAGGCAGUGGGUGGUGUCUCUCCGCAUUGGCGACACUGACAGUGGGUCACCUCGACUGGUACAGAUUUUUAUGAGCACAGCAUGCAGGAUUUUGUUCAUCACUGGCAAAAAUGCAUUGCUCGUAGUGAUGACUAUGCUGAAAAAUAGUGUUUUGUAGCUGAGAAUUUUCUCUAUUAAACAGUGUUAUUGUACUCUUUGCUUCUGUUGUCGUUUCCAUGGAAAUAAAUGGGAGGCAUUACUUUCACGGCAACAUACACAAGGUAUCUAAAUAGCAGUAAGAUUUUUCCUUUUCAUGCUACGAUCUGCAGUUGGUUUACUUAGACUGCUGGGUUCCAUAGUACAUACUUGGAUCCCAUUUUACCUUCUUUUCAUACCUUCCAAUCUUUAUAACAACACUGAGUAAAGAGAAAAAGAACAUGUUCAUUCUAGGAGCAAUAUAACCGAUCUUUUAUGAUAUUACUUUAAUGUUUGCAGCUAAAAAUUGAUAGCUGAUGCAGCAUGGUGUUCCUGUAAAAUGCCUCAUUUGUUUGAAGAAACAUACAAUUGCAGUAAGGAUUAGAGGGCAACUGAAUGGUAAACUGGUUCAUAAAAUAUCAAACACGAAAAUCUGCAGUCAGAUAUCAGGUAAGACGUAAGUCUGCUUGGUCAAACAGGUGGUUAGAAACAAAUAAAAAGGAGAGGUAGAGAGAUGCAAUGUAUUUCCCUGCAUUCUUGUUCAGUAUAGCCCUCAGCAAAGGUUUCUCCUUUUUUAUGCAAGGAAUUAUUUUAUUUAUUUAUUUAUUUAUUGACACCUAAGCAUAUUGAAAAUUCAGAUCACGCAAUAGCCAUUGCGCAUCUGAUACAGUACUGGGAGAAGGUAAGUAAACACUAACUUUAGAUAGCUGUAUAUUUCUAUGCAGCUGUCAGAUAUAUUAUCAGGGAUAGUUGUAUUAUUUAUUUUCUAUAAUGCUCAACCCAGCAUAUUGUUACUCAUUGCAAUAGGUAUAUUUUUCUAGGUUAGAGGUCAUAAUUAUCUGCAAAUCACCUGUAGUUAAAGAGCUCUAGCCUUUGUAUGGGUGAGGAUUUCUCUCCUUAAUCUGUAAUUUAAGAAAGAGCUAGCAGUGGGCCUGAAUUUGAUUUUUCCUGAAAA